UACGAAGGGGGCUAGCGUUGCUCGGAAUUACUGGGCGUAAAGGGAGCGUAGGCGGGUUAUCAAGUUGGAGGUGAAAGCCCAGGGCUCAACCUUGGAAUUGCCUUCAAAACUGAUAGCCUAGAGUAUGAUAGAGGUAAGUGGAAUUCCGAGUGUAGAGGUGAAAUUCGUAAAUAUUCGGAGGAACACCGGUGGCGAAGGCGACUUACUGGAUCAUGACUGACGCUGAGGCUCGAAAGCGUGGGGAGCAAACAGG
rnacentral:rRNA from 1 species